rnacentral:rRNA from 1 species
UACAGAGGUCUCGAGCGUUGUUCGGAUUCAUUGGGCGUAAAGGGCGCGUAGGCGGCGGGGUAAGUCCGUUGUGAAAGUCAAAGGCUCAACCUUUGAAAGCCGAUGGAUACUGUGAGGCUAGAGUCCGGAAGAGGAGAGUGGAAUUCCUGGUGUAGCGGUGAAAUGCGCAGAUAUCAGGAAGAACACCCGUGGCGAAGGCGGCUCUCUGGGACGGUACUGACGCUGAGACGCGAAAGCGUGGGGAGCGAACAGG